UACGUAUGUCUCAAGCGUUAUCCGGAAUUACUGGGUGUAAAGAGUUCGUAGGUUGUUAGUUAAGUUAGGUAUGAAAGACCGGAGCUCAACUCCGCGUUUGUGCUUAAAACUGACUAGCUAGAAUUAGGGAGAGGUAAGCGGAAUUUUAAGUGUAGGGGUGCAAUCCGUAGAUACUUAGAAGAACACCAAAAGCGAAGGCAGCUUACUGGAACGAUAUUGACGCUGAGGAACGAAAGCGUGGGGAGCGAAAAGG
rnacentral:rRNA from 1 species